rnacentral:rRNA from 1 species
AGAGUUUGAUCCUGGCUCAGAACGAACGCUGGCGGUAUGCUUAACACAUGCAAGUCGAACGAGAAAGUCUCUCCGGAGACAAGUAGAGUGGCGCACGGGUGAGUAACACGUAGAUAACCUACCCUUAAGUUCGGGACAACCUUCUGAAAAGGGGGCUAAUACCGGAUGAUACCUAAAGCCGAGUGGUUUAAGGUUAAAAGAUUUAUCGCUUAUGGAUGGGUCUGCGGACCAUUAGUUUGUUGGUAGGGUAACGGCCUACCAAGGCAUCGAUGGUUAGCGGGUCUGAGAGGAUGAUCCGCCACACUGGAACUGAGACACGGUCCAGACUCCUACGGGAGGCAGCAGUGGGGAAUUUUGCGCAAUGGGGGAAACCCUGACGCAGCAAUACCGCGUGAGUGAAGAAGGCCUUUGGGUCGUAAAGCUCUUUUCUAAGGGAAGAUAGUGACGGUACCUUAGGAAUAAGCACCGGCUAACUCCGUGCCAGCCGCGGUAAUACGGAGGGUGCAAGCGUUGUUCGGAUUUACUGGGCGUAAAGGGCACGUAGGCGGCCUAGCAAGUUAAGGGUGAAAUCCCGGGGCUCAACCCCGAAACUGCUCUUAAAACUGCUAAGCUAGAGAUGGUCAGAGGCGGGUGGAAUUCCAGGUGUAGAGGUGAAAUUCGUAGAUAUCUGGAGGAACACCGGUGGCGAAGGCGGCCCGCUGGGGCCAUUCUGACGCUGAGGUGCGAAAGCGUGGGGAGCGAACGGGAUUAGAUACCCCGGUAGUCCACGCCGUAAACGAUGAACACCAGCUGUUUGGACAAACGACAGUCCAAGUGGCGCAGCUAACGCGAUGAGUGUUCCGCCUGGGGAGUACGGUCGCAAGACUAAAACUCAAAGGAAUUGACGGGGGCCCGCACAAGCGGUGGAGCAUGUGGUUUAAUUCGACGCAACGCGAAGAACCUUACCUGGGUUUGACAUCCUCGGACCGCCAUGGAAACAUGGUUUUCUCUUCGGAGACCGAGUGACAGGUGCUGCAUGGCUGUCGUCAGCUCGUGUCGUGAGAUGUUGGGUUAAGUCCCGCAACGAGCGCAACCCUUGUCCUUAGUUGCCAGCACGUAAUGGUGGGAACUUUAAGGAGACUGCCGGUGUUAAGCCGGAGGAAGGUGGGGAUGACGUCAAGUCCUCAUGGCCUUUAUAUCCAGGGCUACACACGUGCUACAAUGGUGACUACAAAGAGCAGCGAAGCCGCGAGGCUAAGCGAAUCUCAAAAAAGUCAUCUCAGUUCGGAUUGCAGUCUGCAACUCGGCUGCAUGAAGUUGGAAUCGCUAGUAAUCGUAGAUCAGCGCGCUACGGUGAAUACGUUCCCGGGCCUUGUACACACCGCUCGUCACACCAUGGGAGUUGACAUUGGCAGAAUACAUUGAGCUAACCUUCGGGAAGCAGGUGUGCAAGCUAGUGUUGAUGACUGGGGUGAAGUCGUAACAAGGUA